GCUCCAGACUCCUACGGGAGGCAGCAGUGGGGGAUAUUGCACAAUGGGGGGAACCCUGAUGCAGCGACGCCGCGUGGGUGAAGGAGCGUUUCGGCGCGUAAAGCUCUAUCAGCAGGGAAGAAAAUGACGGUACCUGACUAAGAAGCCCCGGCUAACUACGUGCCAGCAGCCGCGGUAAUACGUAGGGGGCAAGCGUUAUCCGGAUUUACUGGGUGUAAAGGGAGCGUAGACGGUCCUGCAAGCCAGAUGUGAAAGCCCGGGGCUCAACCCCGGGACUGCAUUUGGAACUGUAAGGCUAGAGUGUCGGAGAGGCAGGCGGAAUUCCUAGUGUAGCGGUGAAAUGCGUAGAUAUUAGGAGGAACACCGGCGGCGAAGGCGGCCUGCUGGACCGUAACUGACGUUGAGGCUCGAAAGCGUGGGGAGCAAACAGGAUUAGAUACCCUGGUAGGA
rnacentral:rRNA from 1 species